rnacentral:lncRNA from 1 species
UCUUUUUCUCAAUGCACAGGGAGCAUUCCUAUACGUUGUGAGGUUCCCUUGUGCUUCAUUCCAAUUUUUAAAGUAAUUCUGUUGUGGAGCUUUCCCAUCCAGCUGUUUUGGCCAGCUACUGGAAGAAACCCGGGUGUAGUAUUGAUGGAGAAGUGAUAUACUGGAGUGAGUUCCACAGGGUGUUUCUAAGAGCAGCCCAAAAGGCUCAGCUGGACAAGGAGCCUGCAGU